UUUGAUCCUGGCGUCAGGAUGAACGCUAGCGGCAGGCCUAAUACAUGCAAGUCGGACGGUAAAAUCGACUUUCGGGUGGUUGAGAGUGGCGGACGGGUGCGCAACGCGUAUCGCAACCACCCCGACGGGCGCACAGCCGGUGGAAACGCCGGGUAAUGCGCCAUGCGCACUUGGGGGGCAGUCCCCUUGGGUGCAAAGCGGCGACGCGGUCGGGGACGGGCAUGCGUCCCAUUAGCUGGUUGGCGGGGCAACGGCCCACCAAGGCUACGAUGGUAGGGGAUCUGAGAGGACGGUCCCCCACACUGGUACUGAGACACGGACCAGACUCCUGCGGGAGGCAGCAGUAAGGGAUAUUGGGCAAUGGGGGAACCCUGACCCAGCCAUGCCGCGUGAGGUAGGAAGGCCCUACGGGUCGUAAGCCUCUUUUGUCCAGGGACAAGGACGCGCACGUGAUGCACGUUUGAGGGUACUGGAAGAAUAAGCGUCGGCUAACUCCGUGCC
rnacentral:rRNA from 1 species